GUGUGGCUCAGUGGUAGAAUGUUUGCCUAGCAUGCAGGAGGCCUUGGGUUCAAUUCCCAGGAACA
rnacentral:tRNA from 1 species